ensembl:snRNA U6 U6 spliceosomal RNA
GUGCUCACUUCAGCAGCACAUAUACUAAAAUUGGAGCCACAGAGAAAAUUAGCAUGGGCCCUGUGCAAGGAGGACACGCAAAUUCAUGAAAUGUUCUAUAAUUUU